rnacentral:tRNA from 1 species
UACGCACUUAGUAUAUUAGUAUAUUCGCCUUCCACGCGAAAGGGCAGAUUAGAUUUGAGUGUGUAG